rnacentral:rRNA from 1 species
UACGGGGGGGGCAAGCGUUGUUCGGAAUUACUGGGCGUAAAGGGCUCGUAGGCGGCCAACUAAGUCGGACGUGAAAUCCCCGGGCUCAACCCGGGAACUGCGUCCGAGACUGAAAGGCUAGAAUCCGGGAGAGGGAUGUGGAAUUCCAGGUGUAGCGGUGAAAUGCGUAGAUAUCUGGAGGAACAUCGGUGGCGAAGGCGGCAUCCUGGACCGGUAUUGACGCUGAGGCGCGAAAGCCAGGGGAGCAAACGGG